GAUGAACGCUAGCGGCAGGCCUAAUACAUGCAAGUCGAACGGUCGUAGUAAUACGAUAGUGGCGCACGGGUGCGUAACACGUAUGCAACCUACCUUAUAGCGGGGGAUAGCCUUUGGAAACGGAGAUUAAUACCCCAUAAUACAAUGAUUUGGCAUCGAGUUAUUGUUAAAGAUUUAUUGCUAUAAGCUGGGCAUGCGUCCAAUUAGUUAGUUGGUGAGGUAACGGCUCACCAAGACGAUGAUUGGUAGGGGAACUGAGAGGUUAAUCCCCCACACUGGCACUGAGAUACGGGCCAGACUCCUACGGGAGGCAGCAGUAGGGAAUAUUGGGCAAUGGAGGCAACUCUGACCCAGCCAUGCCGCGUGCAGGAAGAAGGCGUUAUGCGUUGUAAACUGCUUUUAUAUAGGAAGAAAGAGUUUUUGCGAGAACAGUUGACGGUACUAUAUGAAUAAGCACCGGCUAACUCCGUGCCAGCCGCCGCUGUAACAC
rnacentral:rRNA from 1 species